rnacentral:lncRNA from 1 species
GGAAAGGUUAAUAAUAGAUGGCUCUCAUCUGUAGCUUUCCCCUUGGAAUGCAAGGAAUCCUCUCAGGAUUGAUGUGGAGGGAUGUCAGACUAUGUGAGCAAGGCAACAACAGUAUGAGUUACCUUACAGCAAAGAAGCAUAUAUUUCUUUAACGCAGAUUGAUAGCUUCUUGGCUUCAUUUGUUUGUCAAAGCUCUUAACUCUCCUAAAUGAGGAAUGCACAUGUUGGCAUGUAUGUACCGUAUAUUUAUUUACAAGUUACAUUUCUGUGGUGUCAGUCAUUGGACAGUUUAGGGCUGAAGGAGUGCUUGUGUUGAAUUCUGAAUUAUUAAAUUUCCUGAAAUUUUAUUUUGUAGACUGUGUGUGUUCUUAAAACUCAUAUGAGUUGAGCAAGAGCAGCAAUGUAUUGGGGCAGACAAUGAACAGAGCAUAGUGAAACAUAGGGUGGGGUCUUUUUGCUUGCUUGUCCUCCUUCCUUCCCUUUGAUAAAAAGGGGGAUAUUGAUGGGAUGAGGGCUUUGGUGGGCCCUUGGGGGGGGGGGGGUUAGCUGGCUGCCUUGUGCUGAAAUGGGAGGUUUGGUACUCUUUGAAAAUGAGGGGAGGGGUGUUUUUCAGUAAAGCAAAUGUAUGUCUACUCACAAGCAAGCCCUACUGAAUUUAAUGGGGCUUACUCCCAGAAAAGUAGAAGUAACUAGUCAUAUAUGUGCCUUUAAAAUGGGAUCAAUGUUAUAAAUGAAACGUAUAUGUUUAUUACCGUAUUUUUUGCACCAGACCACAAGACGCACCUAGUUUUUGGAGGAGGAAAACAAGAAAAAAAAUAUUCUGAAUCUCAGAAGCCAGAACAGCAAGAGGGAUCCCUGCGCAGUGAAAGCAGCAAUCCCUCUUGCUGUUCUGGCUUCUGGGAUAGUUGAGCAGGCUGCAUUUGCUCCAUAAGACGCACACACAUUUCCCCUUACUUUUUAGGAGGGAAAAAGUGAGUCUUAUAGAGCAAAAAAUACGGUAUAUAUAUUUGACACAGUGUGUGGUGUGUAGUUUACCUCACUAUGGAGCCAUAUCUUUUCCCAUUGUCUUCUUCUGGUAUAUAUAUGAGCCUGGAUAGUGUCGGUUGAUAAUAGUCUACAAUUAUCAACUUCUGCUUCAAGCCCCUCCCCGUCAUGCUCAACAGUGCCUCUGUUUUCUACUGUGAACAGUUGGAGGGGCUGCUUUCGGCAGUUCUACCUCACCUGAAAGUCUGUUCAUGAGUUUUCUCAUGACGACAAUUGAUGAAGGAAUCUCCAUAACGUUAUGGUGGACACAGAUAGUGCAGGCUUGCACCUCUGGAUCAUCUCUGUGGUGGAUAUUAUCCAUGGUCACCGGCAUAUACGAUAAACAGAAUGAGGGAAAUAAACAAGAAAGCAAGUGGGGCACUUGACUGAAAACAAAUGUUUUCACUGGACUAGAGGAUAAUAACUUUCUGUAAAACAUAUAAAACAUGAAUCACUAAGAUCUUAAGUGGAGAAAGUUUAUGAGAAUGCAGUCAGAUGAUGGGAAGAUAUUUUGAACUGAACAAUGCUUGGGAGCCCUUGCAUUUUCCAAGCCACAUUUUUUCCUACAUUACAAAUCUUGUUGAAAAGGUCUGUUUUUCCACAGGCAGAAUCUUUCAUUCUUCAGUACCGUUUGCCAAAUUGCAAGCUAUGAUAUAAUUAAUCCCUAGGCUUGUAGUGGUUUCUAACGGACACAUUAGCCUACAUUUGGUGAGCAGCUAGAUUGCAAAGUAUGCCUGCGUAGUAUUUCCUCAUGCUAGCUGCGUCCAUUUUAUUUACCUUGAGUAGUGAACUGCUGAAACUUGUCCCCCCCCCCAUUUCUCAAAAAAUGUCUUCCCCUGCAAAAGAGGCUUCUACUUUUCUGCCUCUUUCUCAAUGUGCAUUUUCUUUAGAACCUUGGCAUAUAUGAGAUUUAGCUUACUUUACCAACGUGAAGUGAUGCUAGGUGGCCUGUGGUUUUCCCCUCCUUAUUAAACGUUUCUCCAGUGAUUUGCAGCCCCGCCCUCCGCUGACUGUUUGUGUUCAUGAUAUGAAAAAGCCUCAUGAGAGAAGUUAUCUCAUGAUGUCUUUCCCUAAGCUUUAAUAGAAGCAGGGGGAGCUAAAUAGGUUGGAUACUAAGGGCCUAAAGAAAGGUAAAGAUAAUGUGAUUGGAAAAAAACACAUGAUGGGCUCUCAGGCACAUAGUGGAUAGUCUUCUCACCUUCCUGUGCUUACAAGAAAGUCCAGCCGAGGUUGCCAUAGGUUUCUCCAGACAGAGUGAAUGGACAUUCAAAUGGCAACCAGUGUAAGUGUAAAGUGAUGCAUGUUGGAGGAGAAAGAAAUCCUAAUUUCACAGAUACACGAAUGGGAUCUGAGCUGGUGGUGACUGAGCAGGAAAGAGACCUUAGGGUCAUAGUGAAUAGCCCAAUGAAGAUGUCAACCCAGUGCAUGGCCGUUGUGAAAAGGCAAAUUCCUCGUUGGGGAUCAUUACAAAAGGAUUGAAAAUAAAACUGCCCAUUUCAUAAUGCUGGUUUAUCCAUUUAUGUUACAGCCAAACUAGGAAUACUGAACAUUUUCCAGCAAAUGGCAACCAAAAGGGACUGGAGCAUCUCCACUAUGAAGUUACCGGUAAGUGGAACAUUUUGGCUUUUUAGUUUUUUUAAAAGGUAAAUAAGUGGGGACAUGACAUGAUUAUGCAAGGUGUGGCGACAGCAGACACAGAGAAGGGUUUUCCCCAGUUUCAUAAUACUACAACAGGCAUAGGCAAACUCGGCCCUCAAGAUGUUUUGGGACUACAACUCCCAUCAUCCCUAGCUAACAGGACCCGUGGUCAGGGGUGAUGGGAGUUGUAGUCCCCAAACAUCUGAAGGGCCGAGUUUGCCUAUGCCUGUACUAGAACCAGGGAUCAUCCAGUGAAGCUGAAUGUUGGAAGAUUUGGGACAGACAACAGGAAGUACUUCUCCCCAUAGUGCAGAUCUUCCCACAAGACCUAGAGAUGACUGCCAAAUUGGAUGGCUUUAAAAGAGGAUUAGACAAAUUCAUGGAGAAUAAAGCUAUCAGUGUCUAAUGGCCAUAAUUGCUAUUUCCGCUGCUGGAGGCAGAAUGCAUCUGAAUACUAAUUGCUGGGAAUGUCAAGGCGGGGAAGUGUAUUUGCACUCAGGUUCUGCUUCCCUACUUCCCAUAUGCAGCUUGUUGGCCACUGUGAAAAUAGGAUGCUAGAAUAGAUAUGCCUUUGGCCUGAUCUCCUUUCAAAGACUUUUUUAAAACUCCAAACUGCUGCUUUUAAUUGAUAUUUAUAUUGCUAGUUUUCUGAGUCUGGUCUUUUAAUGGGCUACUUUCACUGUCUGUUUUCCCAGUUAUAUUAUUAUAAUCACCUGACGCUGUACUAUCUGCUGCAGUGGUGAUUUUUAGAUGUCGUUUUAUUGUAUUUUAGAUACCGUUUUUCUUUUUUGAUGGCUUGCAAAUGUUCCCACAGAUAUUUUUUUAAAACAGGUUGGGAACUGCUUUGAUAGCAGCAAUGCUGUAAGGCAGCCUAGAUUUACAGAAACAUCGCUGAAUUGAAGAAAUGAUGAUCAUGAUGACGGUAAUAAUAAUGAUAAUAGCUGUAUUAUUUGAAACAAGACAAAGAACUCUCUUGGAAGUGUCACUGCCCAGCUAAUCAGUGGCAUUUUGCAGCUGCUCAUUGGAUGUGAAUGAAUGAGCCUCAGUAAUAAAAGAGAGGUCAGCAAAAAAUAAGCAGUGCAAUUUGUAUAUAUGCGCUCGUAAAUGUUACUUUGGCUAUCUGGAGAGAAGGCACGGAAAAGCAACCAGAUGUACGAUGAUUAAAUGCAGGACGUUUGGCACAUGCAAACAUUUUUUGGCCCCCAUUCCUGCGGGGACUGGGCCUGACCUACAGACAAGCUGCCUCCCGUGGAGCUGGGGCCUGUCCCUCUUUUAUGGACAUUUCUCUGUGCUGAAUACAGCUGAACGUUCCAUACAAUACGCUAGUCAUGAAACUGAAUCCUUUCCAGUGGAGUGUCAUAGGUGCAUGAGUUCAGACGAAGGAAUUUAAACACAAACCAGAACUGCUCACUACGCAUUAGGGGAACAUAUACACAGCCGGGACCUAUCAGGCUUUUAAUGUUGACGCAAGCUACCUUCAGUGUUUAGAGAUCAGUUCCCAAAUAUUGUGCAACACAGAGCAUCUGCCUAACCUAGGUUUGCGUAGAAGAGAUGAAAGAAAGGGAGAAAAUAGGUUUACCUUCAUAACUCUUAACCUAAUCUGGAAUAUGAUUUGCAACAAGAAAUACCCUGCAGCUAUACAUCAAGGUUCUUAAUUUGCUUUUUAAGGAGGCUUGCUGUUUUUACUAAAAAUGGAUUGAGAGUAAACAAGGGGCUGAGAAACAAAGGCAAUCAGCAGACUUAUCUGCUAAUUCUAUUUAAUGUCAAAAGAAUUAUAUUUUGAAAGUAUUUUAUCAGUAUCAGUAUCAAACUUUAUUUCGGUCACAGACCAGCAUAAGAUAAAACAUAUGGAAAGCAGUGAAAGUAGUUUAUUGAAAAACUGCUUUUGCAAGUCAGAAGUUACUAUUUAUAUUAAUGAAUAUCAGUGAAGAUGGUUUUUGGAACACAAAAAGUUCAAAAGUUCGUCUUUGUACAGGAACAGCCUUGUUUUCAGGUUUCCCCUAUAAGAGGUUGUAAGGGAACUGAAAUAAAGUAAAGAGAAGCAUUCCAGUCUUUUUCAAAAAAAGAUAAGUUGGACUCUGAUGCUGUGCCACUCCUGAUUUGGGAAAGUUGCAGUACAUAAUCAGGUCAGGCUACAAUCCAACCUGACACCUACUUGAAGAGGGAAUUGCAGAUUGGGGAAUGUCCUGCUGUAGCUUUCUGUUUCUUACUUUAAACACAAGUAUUAAUUUAGCAAUAAAUGAACAAAAUGAAUGAACCUUUGUAAAAAACCAGUGGCUUGAUUUACAGAGGAAAGAAACUGUUCAGUGUUCAUUGUAGAAUUCUCAAUGAAGAGACAUAACUACAAAAUAAUUAGUUGGAAUGUACAACUGUGGAGUUCUAGCUUUUUUUAAAGGGAAGUGUGUGUAGGAUGAUGACAGCAAAUGGAAAGCAUGGCCAAGCAUUCCUAGGGACAAACCAGUUACCUCAGAGAGCAAAACUGCAUCCGGGCUCAGGAUGCAGUUCCAAAUUUAAUUUCAUUUCAGGAGCAGAUGACUGGAUUUAUGUCGUUUCAACAGUGAAUUAAAUGAAGUGAAUCAACACAUCACCAGAAAGGCGCAAUUAAACCUCCCUUGCAAGCAUGUCCAUAAAGUUUUCUAGAGCUAUUUGAAUAUAUCGUUCAGAUUUAACCUAUGGGCCAUUUUAUGGAGGUUUGCUAUCGACUGUAUCCUGAACAAAGCUGAAGCCAGUGGUGGCUUCCUGAAGAGUCUGUGUGUAUGGUCCAUAUUUACAAAUGUUAUCACAUUCACAUACUGCAUGCUUAGGUAUACCCCUUAAAUCAUCUUCAUGUGUCCUAAAACAUAAUUUAUUUGGUAAAGCAUGUGUCCAGUCAUAAAAGUCUCUGUUAAGAAGACUAAUGAUGCAAAUAAAUGCUGGUAAAAGUGUGCUUCAUUACCUACAUCAGAACAUCCCUUCUAUGCCACUUGAAUCAAGAGAACUGGACUUUCCACUCUUGCAUUUGCUCAAGAGUGGUUUGUAUUGCUCUUGGAGAUCAGAAUCGAAGGCCCAUGUCCUAUAAUGCCUUAUCUGUGUGAGAGAAGGCAGAAGGAAGAGUCAAGUCUGACUUCCAUUCAUUAGAAGCUCCACCUCCUUUCCAAACCAUAAAGUCUUCCAAUACUCCAGAGGUUCAACUUGCACAAAAAAACCUAAUUUGCUUGACAUAAAGCUGCAAUUGCCAAAGGGCAGGUGGGCAGCCUUUUUUUUUAUGUAAAGAGCUACAUUUGCUUGCAGGUAAUCUGUCAAGGGCAGGCGUCAGCAAACGUACUGCGCCUUGGGCCGCUGUCUCCAACGCUGAUCGCGUGGUGGGCUGGAGGGCGGGGGAGCGCGUGCCCAUACGCAUGUGCACACGCUAUUUCCUGCACACUUCCAGAUUGGAGGAGCACCGGAAAUAGCUUGUGUGCAUGUGCACGGGCCUCCUCUGACCCGGAUGUGCACCAGAAAUAACGCUUGCGCAUGUGCACAAGCUAUUUCCAGUGGUCUUCCAACCCGGAAGUGGGCAGCGCUGGUAAGAGUGGGCGGCGGGGGUUGCCGUGGGCCGGAUAAACGAGUCCCUCGGGCCUUAUCCGGCCCGCGGGCCUUAGUUUGGGGACCCCUGGUCAAGGGCCUCACACUCACUGUGGGCCAGCAGUGUGUGGGGUGAGUGAGUGGGGCUACCCCUUAUUGUUUCUUUUUCUGCCAUCUUCCAAGAGUGCUCCUUUUUCUGUCUCUCUCCUUCCCUGCACUGCAUGUAAAUGAAGUAUCUCUCUCUGCCCCCCCCAAAUUAAUCAAUACAUAAAGUCUAUCCAGAAAUGUAUUUUGUAUGUUCCUGAUACUGAGUUUGUUCAGAUUGGUUCAGCAAUAUAUAUAUCUCAGGUAUCACAUUUUCCUCCAGAUAUUAAUCUGCAAUGGCUAUACAAUCCAAGGAUAGCAUUAAUUAUUUCCUGAUGGUGUUUGGAUUAUCACAGAUACAGAUCGUCACGAGAAUUCCAGAGAGCAUUUGUUAAAGUAAAACAGGAGAAAAAUCUAACUUCUGUAUUUAUUUUACUUUAAAAUGUUUGUUUGACAAAUAUACCACUUUUCAGGGGGGGACCCUCUAAAUCAGUGAUACCCAAAGUGGUGGUCCACAAACCAGUGCCAGUCUGCAAGCCAUUGGCUGAAGGUCCCUGGUAAAUCUACCACAAUCCAGGUCUGGUGGGAUGCUUCAGGAACUAAAUAUUGUAUGAGUUCCUGGCACAUGGUGGUGAUGAUGGGGAGCAGGAAUUGCUGGUCCACCACAUUUGUUAGUUUGAAAAGCACUGCUCUAAAUGGUUUACAUAGAGUUGGGGCUUGUCUUUUGAAAUGAUAACUCUCAAGUUAUGAGAAGGCACAUAAUAGUUUACUGUGAAAUUUGGGAGUUGCCUGCGGUCACAAUGCGGUAGUAACAAAAUUUGAGACAGAAGGUUUUAGUAAACAUGUGUUGUCCUUUGGUUUGGAUUUGAAGCCAGAUACUAGUGCAGCUGUACAAUAUGUCUUAACCAGCAAACUGCUAAGCACAGAUGCAUUUCUGAGUCAGAUAAUGAACACUUGAAGUAGAAUGCUUGAUUGAGGAGUCACAGCUGAGCUUAGCAAAGAAGAGGGUUCCAUAGGGGGAACAUCAUACAGCAGGAAGAUGGAAAGGUGUGGGGGUGAGCAAGGAGAGGAUGGAGGGGAGUGAUCUGGUUAAAAAUGAGUUCAUUCCAGGAUCUUUAAAAAUCCCAAAUGAGAAAGUAACCAGAUUUCUGAAGAGCACAGUCCAUGUGUCACCUAGGGAUGGGGGAGGAAUCUGACUCAUUUUGCAUUUAAAGACAAACCUACCAGUUCCACACUUUCCAAAACAAUAUGCAUAUUGAAAUACAGUUAUCUGUUGAAAUUUCCAUGUCUUCAUUUUUUUUUAAAUGCUGCAGCCAAGUAAUGUAUACAAAAAUGUGUGUGCCAAAGCAACAUGUGCAUAAAAAUGCAUAUGAUAGUGAACAAAAUGUACAAAUUGUAUUACAUUGGGGGAAAUUGUUUUGCAAAAAUGUGUAUGUUAGACAAAACUGCAUACAAAAAUGUAUUUAUUAAGAAAAAUAUGCACUAAAAUGCUGAUGGGUUUUCAUGAGGGAUAGAAACAAGACAUUUUGCUGCUUGAGGCAGAGGAAUAAAUGGAAUCUCCUUCCCUUCCCUCCCAAAUCUCGGUCCACAGUAUUAUUCAAGAACAACCGUCCUGUAAUGGGCAGUAAUACAAAACAAUUAAGUAACUAAGCAUUUGCUGCCCUUUUAUGACACUCAAAAUCAGAUACCUGAGGUGGCUGCCUUGCCCCAGCUAAUGGUAGGGCUGGCCUUGACUUGGGUCUUGCAGUAGAAAGGAUUUACUUUUCAUUUUAAGAAAACAUGUGGAUUUGAUAUGCCACAGAAGGACAACUGUGAAUGAAAUUCAAGUCUGUUCUCUAUGGUCUAUCACAAUGGAUCACUGUUUGAUUAUGUGGUUGGCUAAAGUAACAUGAGCAUACCACAUAUCUCAGAUGUCCAAACAGCACAAAGCACCCUCAUACCAAUGUCUUGUUCUCAGUUUUUAAAAACUUUUUGAUAUUUUUGCAGUUUACUGAGAAGAUACGCAUUCCAACCUUAAGGAAUGUCCCAAAACAGAAUUGGAAUUACAUUAUGCCGUUCUUUCAAAUGAAUGUAAAAGAAAGCAGCUCAAGAUAAUUUUACUUGUUUUAUGCCAGCAGCUUCUUUUACCAAGGUGUUACGCUUUUGUUUCAAGGUAAAAAUGUCAGCAGUGAACCUUUACAGAAAAACAGCAGUGCUGAGAAGUGAAAGCUGACACUGCAUGGCCUCAAAAAUUCUGCUGAGUAUUUGAGGCUUCCAGGAUUUUAAACAAACAAAUAAACACAAACUCUAAUGGCCAACUGCACACUAUGACUGGUUCAUUUAGGGUGGCCAGUUAUGCAUUGCCAAAACAAAGAGAAAAUGCAUCACCAAAAAAAAGAGGACACAGAUUUGCAUAACAUUUGCACAUGCUACUUAAUAUAUGUGGCUGGAAAAUUUAGAAAUGAUUACUGGAACUGAAAUUGAAAUGCUUAUCAGCAUGGUGGGGAGUACAGUGAACUGGAUGCCUGCUCAGUCUGCUGUCCAGCUUCUGUCGAUGGGCAACUUCAAUAUCCUUAUUCUUUCUUCUCUAUUAUCAUACUUUAAGUUUUAUCUGGGCAUAGUCUAGUGGCUAGCUGGGUUGAAAAUGUUUGAAGCUCCCUGCGUAAAAAUUCUUCAAAGGCUUCUCCCAGCUUUCUGUUACUGAGCCAAGGGUGGCACCAGCUUCACCCAUCGCUCAGUUCUUCUCCUUGCCUUCCAACCUACACUGUCCUUGGUCAUCGAUUUCCCCCACUCACUUUCCACUUUUGAAAGGGACAAAAGGGAAAGGGACAAAAGCAAAUCAUAUUUAAAAACUUUAAUAAAGACAGAUCUGUUAUCAACCCAGUUACUCUUUCUGAGGCAUGUCUCUGGGACAUGUAUUUUGUUUCAUUUAUAUCUCCCAGAAACAUUUAUAUCUCUGUUAUAUUGAGAGUAGAAAGCUUCUAGUCAACAAGUUCACGGGGGAGGAAGUGAUAUGUCAAGACAGUAUAGCAGGACUUUUCAGUUAGAACACAAAGACCAGCAUAUAGUAUAUUAUUUAUUUAACAGCAUUACUAAGCUGUUCUAUACCACCACAUCCCUCAGAUCUGAUCUGGACAACCUGGGUGUCUUCAGAUCUUUAUUUCUUUUUUAAUCAUCCGAAAUAGGUUCCCAUCUCAUAAUAAGCAUAGGAAUGGUGUUUUGCCAAUGAAGAAAGCCUUUCCUAAGUAGGGUUAGGCAACUGUGCUCUCUCCAAGAGCAGAGUUUCUGGGUUUAAAAGUAUGUAUAACAUAUGGAGGUGUAAGUGAAGAAUGACCUUGAAAAGAGAAAGGAGCCCAUUUUGCUGCCUGCAGCCUAUUUUGGAGGGAUUACCUUUGAUACUAGGAAGCAGAACUAUAUCAAGACAUUUUGCUGCCUGAAGCAAAGAACAAAAUGGCGCCCUCUCAUUCCAUACACAGAUGUGGACCAGAUUGGCAGUUGCAUCAACCCUGUGGUGGGAUAGCCUUCUUUACCACCCCUGAAGGUCUUAGGGGGUUCAGGGCAGAUCAUAGAGCACAUUCAGCCUGUCCUCCAAAAUCUUGUGCUGCUCCACCUGAGGUGGCUACCUCACUUUGCCUCAUGGUAGGGCUGGCCCUGCUGAGAAGUGAUGCAUUGUUUCUGCCUUCCCGCUUUAAUUGAACUGUCAGUCAUGGUUUUCACAAACUUCAGGGGUGUUCUGGAUUCUCACAAGAAUCAUGAGACUGUUCAUGCAUCAGAAAGUCAAUUGGCUCCCAAUAUGCACUCCGGCCCACUUGGCAAGUCCUAAACAACUUGGGGCCUGGACACCUGAGAGAAUGGGGAGGUUCUUAUAGCUGUGCCAUCCUUAGUCUGCUAUAUGACCAUGUGGAGAAGAGCCUCCAUGACUAUAAUACCCCAGCUUUGAGAUAUGGCUGGCAUGCACUCAUUUGACCUUUCGAUGCCAGCUGAAGACAUGGUGAUUCACACAGGCUUCUGGUGGACUUCAGUGCCAAUGUUGCUGUAAGUUCUGCCUAGUUGGUUGUAACUGUCCACCUUGCUUUUAGUUGUACGAACUCUGUAGACUUACUUUAAUGUGUGGCCCGCUUCUGAAUUGCAUUUGCAAAGACGAAGGGAUAAGAAGUGUUUUAAGUAGAAUUAAAGUUUUGCAGAGAACAAAGGCGAGAUGAGUGUAGUGCAUAAGAAAUGAAUGAUCUAAAUAAAACAUGUCCUGUGUAAUGUCAGUGAACAUAAAAAUGUAACAGAGGUGAUGUCAGCCCAACAUUAAGUAAAUUUGCUCACAGACAGGAUUUUGAUACCAUUAGAGCUUAGGGAAUCCAAGAGGACAGCAGUGAGUCAUCAUGUUAAAAUAUGGUGACAAUGAGUUUAAGAGGGGGAAAGGGAAACUUCCUUUUUAGAUUGCUAAGAGAUUUAAAGUGGGAGGAAAAGUAAUCCCAGAGUGUGAGCCAUAACAAACUCUAAAAGGGAAUAUUGAGAAAUGUUUAUACAAUGAAUUUUUUUUUGAUGAUUAACUUCUGUUUAAAACUAAACAGUCUCAUCAUGGUGAGAGAAUAGAAGCUUUAUGUUGAACUGUAUCUAUUAAAAAGAACACUAUGGGAUAUAAAUUCUUACUAACACUAGUCAUCUGGGAACUGUCUCAAUAAAAAUAUUAAAUGUUUCACAUUAUGAAGGCCAUAUAAGGCAUAUUUGCCAGUUUAGCCACCCACUAGGCCAGGGAUGUGGCCUCCCCAAAUGUUGUUGGAGUGGAACUGCCCCUAUCUUGGCCAUUGCCCAUACUGGCUGAUGGGAGUUGGAGUCAAACAACAUGUGGAGGGCCACAGAUUUCUCAUGACUAUACUAAGCUCUGUAUCUGGCUUCUGAAAAGAAUAUACUCACAGUCCUCAGAAACUGCAUUUCACCAGUAGGAAAAAUCAGCAAAUGAAGAAAACGAAUCCAUAUCUCAAUGGCCAAAAAUGUGACAUAGGUGAGAUUCAGUCCCAAAAGCUUUACGGUUUCUUCCAGAGGACUCUGGAAAUGUUCGUUUCUCACAAUGCAAACUAUCAGUUACUUUGCAAUCAUCCUGGCCAUACAGGUUUUGCCCAUUUUUUAAACGCUACAAAGCAGUGCGAUUUCUGCGUUGCAGAAACAAUAGGAGGAGAGUAUAUCAGACCUAGAGGCAAUGGUGUCCCAACCACGUCAACUAUGAAAAGCUAUAAUCUUUCUCUUGUCUCAAGGAGGUCACCACAGUGUACAUGGAAAUGGAAUGAGAAAUACAAGAGCAUGCACACUGCAGGUGUAGAAAAGAAAUCUACACUUCAUGGGUGUGUUUCCUUUUCUUUUUACCAUAAUGUAGCAAACAAAUAUAAAAGCACAGCUAACAGCCUGCAGUGGGAUUUUCUUUCCAUUAAUUUCAAACAGAUCAGUUUUGAACAUAACGAGAAAUGCAAUGUAAAGUAUCUGGGAAAUCCUUUGGGGUACAGAGUCUUAUCCAAAUGAGAUCGCACUCUUCAUCCGCAAUCUUCCAUCUGUUGAAGUGUGUUUCUCAUUAUGGUUUUGUGGAAUUUCCGUUUACGGUAAGUUUCAGACUGUAUUGGGGUGAGGUCAUGUUGUUUAUUUUGAAUGGCUCCUUUAUUAAAGAAAUCUAAUCCAAGAGCACCCUUAGAGAGCAUUUGGAGCAACAGGAUAUUAAAUUAAUCUCAUCACAGCCUUACAGAAAGUUACCUUUAUAGUCUAAAUGUACAGCUGCAUCCAGAGUUUUGACAUCCAUAGAGACACAAUCGUAUUGUUCCAUGCUUCUCCACUUCCCUGAGCAUUAGGAAGUUCAAAAGGCAGCUUUUAAGAGAGUCAUUUUUGAAGAAAGAGUCCUGGAUACUAACAGUCUUAUAAUAUCAAUAAUUUUACAACUCUACAAGUUGAUUCCAGGGGGGUGGGGGACAGAGGUAUGCACAGAGGCAGCCAUCCAGACAGUUUUAAAGUAUAACCUGCCCCUACCGCACAUCAUACCUUUAAAUACCCUGCUCCCUUUUUCUUUCCAACUAGCUGCAAAAGUAAGACUUCUGACCUUUCGCUGUCUGCAGUUCAAACACCAACUGUUCCUCUCAACCCAAGCAGGUGGGGAAGGAUCCAGUAGCCACCAGCUGUCAAAAACCACCAAGGCCAAGAACCCUGGCUGAAGAUAGCAUUUGAAAUCAAUGAAAGGUUGUGUGUGUGUCUAUCCUCUUCUUUUUUUAAGCACAGGAAAUUUUUAAUUGCACAAUCCAAUUCAUAUCUAUUUAGAAGUAAGUUCCAUUUAGCUUACUGGUAUUCCAGUAAGUGGAAUACUGGUGAUGCCCAGAUGUUUUGGACUACAAUAUCCAUGAGUGCCAGUCAGCAUGGCUAAUGGUCAGAGAUACUGGGAGCUGAACUUCAAAACAUCAGGAGGGCACCAAGUUGGGGAAGGCUGCUUUAGUCUAUUAUUGAAUCACAUUUUCCUGAACUAAGCUUUGCCAUUGAAAACAGAUGCCAGGGGCUAUGACUUGGUACGUUGUGGUAGAAAUGAAGCACUGUUUGUUAGAGAUCACAUGAGGUGGAAUUAGUGUGUGGAACAGUUGUCGUGAACCUGUAAAGGCGCUCCAAAGAGACCCCUCCAUGGUGGUGGGAGUAGUGGGGAUUCUGGACUCAUUUAGACUUAGCCUUGGCAUCUACUUUCAAUGGAAGGACUCAUCGCUGAACAAGGGAAGUAAAAAUAGAAGAGCAUGUCCCCAAAGCAGACGUGGAGUGAAUUACUCCUGCUGGGUAACUAAAGAUCACCCACACAUUAUGGAACAGGGGAAAGGCUUCCAGAUUAGAAGGUGGUGUUUCUAGACAGCUUUGAGCCCCAUACCUGUUUUCCUAGAAAUUAUGCAGUUGAAAUUAAGAGGUUGGGGUCAGGGCAGAAGAAAGGAAAGUUUCACUGCUGGCAAGGGAGCAGAUUGUACUCUUCAAGGGAUGUACAAGAGAGAGAAAAUAGUGUCAGAAAUGUUAUUGUUGUUGUUAGAUAUAGUAACGAGGAGGUCUUAUUAAGCAUAACAGUUAUGAACAUAAUGAACUUUGUUUUAGAGAAGAGGUAUUUCUCAAGUCUUUAGUUGCCCACAGGUAGAGUUCUCUCAGAGUACAUUUUGUCAUAAGCACAACAGGAAAUGUGAAUUAUCCCUACCCAAUUCAUGACUGUUGGCCUCCAUCGCUUGUCUCCAAAGGGAUGGCACAAAAUGAAAAAUAUAUGCUUGAAUACUAAUUUGGCUUAAUGGACAGGAAAUGUAGAAAGGUUAUGAAUGGAAAGUAUUCAAAGUGAAAAACGUAGCAGCAGGGUAUGACAGGAGUCUGUGUUUUAGAUUCCAGCACUGAAAUAUUUAUGGAAAUAUAAUUUAUGCAGUGGGAUAGAAAGCAGAGAUUUCCAAGUUUGCAGAUAAUGCUUAAUUCAGUCAGGUUAGCAAAUAAUGACAUGUCAGAUGGCCAAAACAAAGAGAUUCAAAAGAAAUAAAAGGUAUGAACUGACAGGUAUCAGUUAAAAGUUUUAAUCCUAUAAUUUUAAAAGUAACAAGCUAUCAUUGCCAGAUUUUACUUUAUUCAGAGACCCUAUAAUUAAAAGACAAUUUUUCAAAGUAAUUUCUGCUGAUUAGAACUGCCACAGCAAGCACCAAACUUGAUAUCUUGACACAGUCAAUUCAUGAUCUCCUGUUUGUUUGUUUUUACUGCCAUAGGAAACUACUAAUUUGAUCAAAGUAAUACUUGUGGUAAGGUAUCUUCAAUUUUUUCCUUGCAGGCCAUUUUUCCAACUUAAAUGGGCCUGCCUGGCCCAGCUAUUAGUUCCACGGAGCCAUGCCCAACCCUCAGAACAGGAACUGACCAAUGAAGGUGCAGCAAAAAGCUAACUAUCAGUAAUGCUGCAAAGAAAGCAAUAAAAAGAGCAGAAGUAGCAGAGAGGAUGCUUCUAAUAGCCAAUCCUUGCUGAAUUGAAUUAAAAUGUUAAUAACAAAUCAGGUGAGAACACAGCACAAAAAACACUGUAAUGCAACAGGAUGGCAUUGACAUUGUCUGAUUUCUUUGUAAAAAUAAAACAGUGAACAGAUGGCAACCCCAAAGAGAUAGUGUGAAAAAACCCCUCACAUCCUGAUCCCUAUUGAUGGUAAUUUAGGAACAAAUGGAAUAGACUUUCUCUCAAAUAAGGCUGCAGUCCUGACCCCACUUACCUAGAAGUAUGCAACACUGAAUUCAAUUUCCCAGCACUUAAUUUAUUCACAGUUUUGUAUGCUGUAAAAAAGUUAAUGUGAACUAAACGGUAGAAUACCACUGUGAUCAUAGCUGCACUGUGAUCAUGUUCCUAGAAACAUUAUUGUGUGGAGAAAGUCAGUAGUGUGAACUAAAAUAAAAGAGUCUUUGAUGCAGCCGAGUGACCAUCACAGCUACCUCAUAGCCUAAUCCUUGGAGCUAUCUAAUUGGGCAAACCCAUUAGAUAAACGAGAACAGUUCCUGUUGGGCCUUUCAUCUUGGCCCGAUGGUUCUGUCCAACACCCUUAUUCUACAAAAUCACAUGAUAAGCAGUUAGCUUUGUUGAACAGCUGGGUGAAACACUUCCAUGUGAACCUUCACCCAAAACUCAAAAUAAAUAUGACUGGACUGUUUUAUUUACGUAGGUAAGAUAAGCUAUUGCAAGCUUUCCCUUCCCCUCAAGUCCUCAUUUCGUUCUACAUUCAUUAAAAAAAUACCAAACUAAACUUCAAAAGCGUCUUGAAUGUUGAGACUACCGGAAUACUUUUUUAAGAUGAAAACUUACUUAGGAUCAUGCAGAAGUGAGAAAAGUGUAUUCAUUGAAAUUCUCCAAAAUGCAGUGAUUAAGUGGUUUCUCUGCACAGAUCAUUGGUUGUUUUUUUUACUUGGAACCGAGCCAUCCUACCUUCACCCCUCCUUUCAACAAGUGUUCCAAGCUGUUCACAGCUGGGAAAAUCAGACAUUCUAUUCAGGAAAGGAGACCUUUUACACACACCUAUCUGCAUGCAGCUGGCACUUACACAAGUUACCAAUAUGGUAAACUGGUGACACUGCUAGCAGUUCUGCUACCAGCGUUGUCCUUUAGGGGGAUGGCGGUUCAGUGCCUUCAUCUAUAAAGAAGGCUUGGGUACAUUGUAGGGUUAAUGGCCUGGUAACUGGUGAAAGCAGCAUUAGGUCAGAACACAGCAUUGUGCUGAAGGGCAAGAUCAUGAACGUCAGAUAUCAGUUCUAAGUGAGCAAACUAUGGAUGGAUAGAUGGAUGGAUGGAUGGAUGGAUCCGUCUGUCUUUGGACCAUAGCCAUUUCACAUGUGUUCAUUCAUACGUCCAUUCCAUUCUAUUCCAGUUCUGCAUUCAUCUGAGUUCUUUUAAUUCACAGGUAAAUAUUUUAUCACUAAAUAGAUAUUUAAAUAUAUCAGUGUAUGCACUUUUAAAUACAUUUAUCAUAAAUGCAUACUUUCUUUUCUUUUACUACAUUUGGUAUGUUUUUUGAGCCAAGAAUUCAAGGACAAAAGGUUUCAGCUAUUUACAUUUCCUCAAAAAGAGCUUGGUUUUGGAUUUUCUGGUGCUGGUAGUCCCAGCAACUAUACUGUAGUUCUUGUUUCAAUUAGUACCGUAUUUUUCGUUCUAUAAGAUGCACCAGACCACAAGACGCACCUAGUUUUUGGAGGAGGAAAACAAGAAAAAAUAUAUUCUGAAUCUCAGAAGCCAGAACAGCAAGAGGGAUUGCUGUGCAGUGAAAGCAGCAAUCCCUCUUGCUGUUCUGGCUUCUGGGAUAGCUGUGCAGCCUGCAUUCGCUCCAUAAGACGCACACACAUUUCCCCUUACUUUUUAGGAGGGAAAAAGUGAGUCUUAUAGAGCAAAAAAUACGGUACUUUGAAAACGGAAUACAUUCAAUAGUUUUCUGGUUUUAUAAAGGAUUCUGGGUGUCCUUUUUCCACUGAAUUCUUUCCAACACACAUUUUACAAAAUUUGCAAAAGCGAGUCCCAUACAAUUUGUAAAGUUAGUUGAGAUUUUGCUAAAAACGAAAACACUGUUUGGUAAAUCUUAUUGGUAAAUACUGUUGUAGUAGGAUCAAAUGCCUCGGCAGUCAUCUAGGCGCUAAAGAUUUAAACUGAAUCCAACAAAAUCUUUAUCAACAAUUGUGGCUAAGAAGCCAUUAACACUUUGCACCCUAAGCACCUUACAGCGAGGACUUUUUUCUUGGGGUGACUGCCCAUGUACUAAGUUAAUAUGACCAAGGACCCAUAAACAGGUGAUUGCAGUGGCAUCCCCCAUAAAUGUGUCUGAGUGUCUCCUUUGCCCUAAAAGUCCAGCCAAGUCCAAGACUAGCAGCAUCAAAGUUCAAGGCAUUGGCAAGGAUGCUUGCUCCACCCCACUGCUUUUUUAUAAUAUAAUAAUAAUCAUAUUAUAAUAAUUUAUUAUUUAUACCCCACCCAUCUGGCUGGGUUUCCCAAGCCACUCUGGGUGGCUUCCAACAGAAUAUUAAAAACAAUAUAGCAUCAGACAUUAAAAACUUCCCUAAACAGGGCUGCCUUCAGUUGUCUUUUAAAAGUAAAAUAGUUGUUUAUUGCCUUGACAUCUGCUGGGAGGGCAUUCCACAGGGCAGGCGCCACUGCCAAGAAGGCCCUCUGCCUGUUUCCCUGUAACCUCUCUUCUCGCAGUGAGGGAACUGCCAGAAGGUCCUCAGAGCUGGACCUCAGUGUCCAGGCUGAAUGAUAGGGAUGGAGACACUCCUUCAGGUAUACUGGGCCGAGACCAUUUGGGGCUUUAAAGGUGAGCACCAACACUUUGAAUUGUGCUCAGAAACGUACUGGGAGCCAAUGAAGAUCUUUCAGGACGAGUGUUAUAUGGUCACCAUGCAUGAAUUGGAGGGCAAACAUACGAAGCAGGGAGCCUUCUGUACUUGUGGAAUCACUCUGCACAUUUUAGAACACUGAUUUCCCAGCGUUCUGAAAUGCACAGGGAGGCUCCAUGAAUAUAAGAGCCUCUCCACUUAACAGGUUCACCAUCCAACUUAUCAAAGGUGAGUUGAAUGGUGAUGGGAUAGAGCUCGUGUGCUUAUCCCAAGUGCCCCCACCCCCACCAUUGUGUGUUUACUCAGCUCAUAUUUAGAACACAUGAAGAGGAAUUUAGUCUUCCAGAUUAGAGGAACAUUUUUCCAGGCAGAUUUGAUUCCUGCCAUCUCUUUAUCUUGAAAUCUAACUCUGUCCUAACAUUUCCUCCAGUUUUGCGUUAUUUCCCCUGCUUUUUACUCUGACCCUUUAUCAUUUAUCUUGAUAGGAACUUGCAUUGCACACUAUUCCAAAGAACAGGGUUGGGAUGGGGGUGGAAUUUGUUUCUGUUCACAUUUAAAGAUGAAUUCAUCUAACUUGUACUUUCUGAAACAGUAUAAUAACCAAAAACACAGCCGUCCUUUGAGAUUCACACUUCUCUGAAUUUUACACCGCAGCUCUCUAGCCAAGUAAUGUGUACAAAAUGCAUAUACUGGGGUAAAGCGUGUGUAGAAAUGCAUAUGUUAGUGCAAAUAACAUACAAAGAUGCAUUAUUUCAGGGGAAAUUUCUUUGCAAAUAUGUGUAUAGUAGGCAAAAUUGUAUACAAACCUGAGUGUAUUUGGAGAAACUGCAUUAAAAUGCUGAUGCAUUUUCAUGAUGAAUUUAUUAUAUUUAAAAAAUAUAAUCUGAUGUGAAAAUGUGGAGAAGUGAAUUUAAGACUGGAAAAAUGAGAAACUGAAAAACCGGGAAAUGUCAGAUUCGUUCAUCCUAGCCAGAAGUGAUGCUACUGUUAUGCUACAACACAAAAUCAGUUUUGCCUAAGGCUGCCAAUGGUAUUUCAUAAAAAGCUACCAUGACAUGAAUAGGUUCAAGUUCAGACCAUUGUUUUCGCUGAGUGGACAAAGCUAGAGACAUGUUAAUCAACUUAAUGAACUCUCUGGAAAGCUGACCAACCAGUAAUAUCAUCCUAAAAGCCCUUUCUAAACAGUAAAUCCCACUGAACUCAGUGAGACUUACUUCUGGGUAAAGCUGCUUAAGAUUGAUUUGCUAUGCUCUAAAACCAGAUAUGAUUACGAUAAUUUUUAAUUAAUUGUUUAGAAUUCUAUGCCACUUUUCAACUAGGUGUGAUUUUAAAAGAAAAAGCUAUUCAAAGACAUUUUGUAAAAGAAUUUGCACUCUGGCAAUUAUUAGAAUGAGGGGAGUUAGUCUUGUGUGUCCAUUAAGUGGAUUUCAUUGACACAUUAUUUUAUGUCAAGAAAGACCAAACUAUGCUCUUCCUUGCUGUGGCUCAGCAUGCCAGGAGUCGGGUGGGGAGAAAUGGAAUGGAGCUCAUACCAGACACAAGUCUAUUGCCUCUCUCAAUGUCUUUCGCCCCCCGCUGUGCUGACCAGGGCAAACAUUUAACCCUAAGAGUCAGAGAUCAGCCCAAACCUGCCCUGGCUUGACCCACGUGUACAACAAUAGCAGCAUAUUUUCAAAAGCCUUCCCCUUAACUACACAUCUACAAUGAUAAUUAACUGGCUAUUUUAAAGGCCCAUUGAAAUCCACACUGUGGCUAAGGAAUGUCAGGAGCAAAGCAGCUGCUCUCAGGAAUCUCAGACUUUGAUUAGUAUUUUUCCCCAUUUCAUCCCUCUUUGUCUACAGUCUUAUUCUCUUGACGCCAGAUUCAAAUGGAUUGAUUGACCUAGAAAAACAUGCCCAGCUUGCACAGAGGGUACUUUCUCUGAGAAAUGUAGUCUUUGAGCUAGCUCUGAGAGGCUCUAUUUUGAUGGAAGGAUCACAUUUCUUUGACUUUUUUCAGGUACUUAAUAAUACAGAAAAGACCUGAGAUGAGCAUGAACAGGAGUUUCUGAUUCCGUCUUCAUCAGUUAGGCAGAGGCAGGUUUGGCAGUUGUUACGACUCUGAUUAUCGUUGUGUGAAAUGCUUCAUGAGUGCAGCUGCAUCACUUUGGCACCCUAGGAUCGGAUGGCCCUCAAGUAGUUCCUAGAAUCAAAGAAUCAUAGUACAGUGGUACCUCGGAUUAAGUACUUAAUUUGUUCCGGAGGUCCGUUCUUCACCUGAAACUGUUCUUAACCUGAAACACAACUUUAGACUGAAACUGCAGAGUUUUGAGAAAUUAAAAAACAAAGUGCGAGACUGGCUUCAUUAUUAUCAGAUAAUGGAGGCAUAUAAUUUGGACAAGAAAAUCGGCUUCCAGGUGGAAAAAUCAAAAUUAGAAACAGAAUUGUUAGAACCCAAAACUAAGAUUUUGUCAAAGAUGUAUAACUUGCUGUUGAAAUGGAAUACUCAGGAUGAAAUGGUGAAAUCUGCUAUGAUUAAAUGGGCACAAGAUAUUGGACAUAACAUAAUGAUGGCUGACUGGGAACAGUUAUGGACCACAGGUAUGAAGUUUACGGCAUGCAAUGCCUUAAGAGAGAAUAUUAUGAAAAUGAUAUACAGGUGGUACAUGACCCCAGUCAAGCUUGCAAAAAUCUAUCACUUGCCCGAUAAUAAAUGUUGGAAAUGUAAAGAAACUGAAGGUACAUUCUUUCACCUCUGGUGGACGUGCCCAAGGAUUAAGGCUUUCUGGGAGAUGAUCUAUAAUGAAUUGAAAAAAGUAUUUAAAUAUACCUUCUUGAAGAAACCAGAGGCCUUUCUCCUGGACAUAGUCGGCCAAUUGGUGCCAAAGAAGGAUAGAACUUUCUUUAUGUAUGCCACAACAGCAGCAAGAAUACUUAUUGCAAAGUAUUGGAAGACACAAGACCUACCCACUCUGGAAGAAUGGCAGAUGUAGGUGAUGGACUACAUGGAAUUGGCGGAAAUGACUGGCAGAAUCCGAGACCAGGGAGAAGAGUCGGUGGAAGAAGAUUGGAAGAAAUUUAAAGACUAUUUACAGAAAUACUGCAAAAUUAAUGAAUGCUAGAAUGAUGUUGGAUUGAAGUUAAGUGGUUUCUAGCUGUAAUGGUAUAAAAGAAUAUGAAAAAAUUGAUUUUUAACAGGUAAAAAUUUAAUAUUAUAAUAUAUUAAGAUUAAAGAUCAGGAUAAAUUAAGGAGGGAAAGGAAUUGCUGAACUAAUAAAUUGAACUGGAAUACAAAAAAGGGAGGUAUGAGGAGGUCCGGGAAACAAGCAAAUGAAAGAUAAGUGAUAGAAAGAUUGAAUUGUUUUUAACUAUUUUUAUUUUGUAUUUUUUCUUCUUUUUCUUUUUUCAUUUUGUAAUAUUGUGAAAACCUUAAUAAAUAUUUAUAAUAAAAAACAACAACACAACUUUAGAUAAUGGGGCCUCCUGCUGCCGCUGCGCCACCAGAGCACGAUUUUUGUUCUCAUCCUGAAGCAAAGUUCUUAACCCGAAAUACAAUUUCUGGGUUAGAGGAGUCUGUAACCUGAAGCAUAUGUAACCUGAAGUGUAUGUAACCCGAGGUACCACUGUAUUGUAGAAUUGGAAGGGACCCUAAGGAUCAUAUCAACCUCCUGCAAUGUAGGAAUAUGCAGCUGUCCCAUAGAGUGAUUGAACCUGUAACCUUGGCCUUAUCAGCACCAUCCUCUAACCAACUGAGCUAUCCAGGCCUCAUGCUUUUUAUUCUGGGAAUGAAGAAAAGUUAGGGCUGCCAUACGUCCAGAUCUUCCAGGACAUUACCGGGAUUUCAAAGAUGGAAGGCGGUGGUUUGUCCUGGAUCUUCGGCAAGUAAACUGAGAAAGCUCAACAACUUUUGGGCUGUCCUCAUUUUUACUUUUUGAAAUAUGGCAACCCUAGAAAAGUGCCUACAGGACUUUCAGGAGCCUUGAGAGAGCAUUUCAUAAUUCUCACAAAAGGAGCAAAAAGCAGGUGUUGAAUAGCUGUGUGAGUGCAAGGAUUAUUGCUAGUGCAGAAAGAUUUCCCCCUCUCCUCCCUCCAUGUGUGCCCAGCGCCAUCCCCAAAUGUGCUCUGGAGGGUUGGAGGAGCCCCCAAAACAGAUUUUGGGGGGGGAGGAGAUUGGGGAGAACAUUGUACUUAGUGCUAUGCAGAAUAGGUCAGGCUGGGGUUGUAGUCUUCUAUACAACUAUGAAAUGUACAGGUUAUCAGAGUAUCAAAUAUCACAAAUAUGGAAUAUAAAUUGAACAUUCCUGAAUGGAUUGCCCUCACAGAGUCCCUAAUUCACAGCUCAUGCCUUGCCUAAGCAAGAAACCAAAUUCGAUAAAUAGAAUAAUGAAAAUUUCAGUGAAACACCUAGCAAGUUAUUCAGUCAGAGUAUACAUAGGUCUUAAACUGUCAGUGACAAUGUUUGAGUGCUCGCCAGCAGAGAGCACUGCAUACACUUCAACAGAGAGAGAGAGAUGCACUCCAAGAUGUACAAUGAUGUCUGGAGAAGUACCAUUUCCCAGAAACCCGCAUAAUUUUCUCUCUGUGUUUCAGGAAAUAUUUCUAAGUGUUUUCUUCUUAGUGAAUUCCGAUCUCUUCUUAGUGAAGAAAAGAAAACUGGGUCCAUUGGUUUCUCUUUCAGUUGGAUAUGAACCCAUUUUUUGUUUGUUUCUUUUAUUUAGAUCAUAGUUGUCUAAUCAGUCUAUCAUCUGGUCUUUUUGUAAAGCUCAAAGUAUACUGGAAUACUUAGAUUCGAAUUCUGUGUGUGUAUGUGGUGAAUUCUCAAAGGAACACAUAAUUUCAUAAAGUACAGUGGUGCCCCGCAAGGCGAAUGCCUCGCAAGACGAAAAACUCGCUAGACGAUUUUUUGUGACCAUUGGGCCACUCUGCUGUUUUUUUUAAAAAAAAUCUGGAUUUGAAUUUCUGUGUGGUGGGUGGCUGGGGGAACAGUUGGGGAGGGGUUUGCAAGAAUCUGGAAGCUUGUGUGGUUUUUUUCUGCAUUUUUAUGAUUUUCUGUGACCAUUGGACCACUCUGCUGUUUUUUUUAAAAAAAAAUUCUGGGUUUGAAUUUCUGUGUGGUGGGUGACUGGGGGAACAGUUGGGGAGGGGUUUGCAACAGUUGGGGAGGGGUUUGCAAUUUCUGUGUGGUGGGUGGCUGGGGGAAUAGUUGAGGUUUUUGAAGACUCUGGUGAUUUUUGAAGCUUUUCCAAAACUUCUUUUGCAGCCAUUCGGUAAGUUAAACUUUUAAAACUUUUUUUGGGGUUUUUGGAUUUUGGGUUGGGGUGUUUGGAAUUCAAGGACUUGGUUCUGGGUUUGAAUUUCUGUGUGGUGGGUGGCUGGGUGCUUUUGAAUUUUUUGGAUGUGAAGCACUGAUUUUGGGGGGGGGGUUUGCGCAGGUAGGAGCUGUGCUGCCAUGGGACCCAAGAAGACUGCUGCUGCAGAGGCCGGCGAGGGGAAGAAGGAGAAGGUUACGCUGGAAAUGAAGAAGGAGAUCAUCUGGAAGCACGACGGUGGAAUGCAUGUGACAGACCUCGCCAGGGAGUACGGGAGGAAUCCAUCGACCAUCGAGACCAUCCUGAAGAUGAGGGAGAAGAUCCUUGCGACUGAUGCAGCCAAAGGAGUCACCAGAAUCGUGAAGAACCGCCCAGCUGUUCUGGAGGAGGUGGAGAAGUUGCUGCUCAUCUGGUUAGAAGAGAAGCAGCGUGCAGGGGACACAGUGACUGAGGCCGUCAUUUGUGAGAAGGCCAAGGCCUUGUACGCAGACCUCAUCCGGGAACAGCCAGGAACCUCAGGCGAGCCAGAAGUCUUCAAGGCAAGCAGAGGCUGGUUUGACCGGUUCAAGACAAGAUCUGGAAUCCACAGCGUGGUCAGGCAUGGAGAGGCUGCCAGUUCUGAGGAACGGUUGUCCUCCAAAGAACUGAGGGACAUUUGCCUGAAGUGGAAGGAUGUGCAGGCUUUUGCACAGCGGCACCACCCUGACAAGCACGUGGCACAUGACCUUGCGAACACUUUUGAUACAAGGGUCAUGUCGCCUUUCAGGGAGAUGCUGAAAAGGCGGAUGAAGCAGCAGACCAUGGACAGGUUCUUCAGCAAGAAGCAAAGAGUGGAACAGGAACCUUCUUCGAGUUGUCCCCCAGAGUCUUAGAAAAUGUACUGUACACUUUGUUGAUUUUUAAAUGUUUUUCUGUCAUGUUUAGAAACUUAAUUUAUUGUUCCUUCAGUUUUUUGAAAUGCUCUUUACAGUAUGUGCGACUUUAAAGAGCACUUAAUAAACUCUUGUUGUACCAAAUUUGGCUUUGUUUGGACUUUUUUUGACCAUAGGAACGCAUUAAUUGAAUUUCAAUGCAUUCCUAUGGGAUUUCGUGCUUCGCAAGACGAAAAAUUCGCUAGACGAAAAAACUCGCGGAACGAAUUAAUUUCGUCUUGCGAGGCACCACUGUAUGUGGUGGCUCUCCAGACUUAGCUGCUAGAAGAGUGACUUUAAUUAGUCAACUCCAGUUCUUGCAGUAUCUAUAUCCCUUUUCAACAAGGUCAAACCGUUGGCCACCGUUUCACCAUCUUUAUUACCCUAUAUAUCAACAAAUAUUGGACGGCACACGUAUUUACAGUUUUUAAGAACAGCACAGAAAGUAGUCAGGAAUGGCUAUGUUAUAACUGCUGACAACUGAUGCUGACAGCCCAGAAACAAGUGGGGCCCAGGACUGCAUAGCCUAAAUACCAAAGGUUAUUUCAUAUACAAAAUGUGAGCAAUCAAUCUGAGCUCAUUUUGCAGAAGCAGAAGUGCAAAAUGAAGUGAGGAAGAUAGUGCAGGGUUUGGUUCUAAAUCCACUUUCCAACACAGAACCAGUCACCACAUGAAAAAGUACUGGAAUUCCUUUGGAAUAACCAAAGUGCAGUUUCAGGCAGUAAUAACUGUACUCUCAUGCCCAAAUGCACUAUGUUUAAUGUUUUAUUAUGUUUUUAUAUAUGUUGGAAACCAACCAGUGUGGCUGGGGCUACCUAGUCAGAUGGGUUGGGUACAAAUAAAAUAAGUAUAAUUAUAAUUUUUGUUGUUGUUGUUGUUAGUGUUGCUAUUGGUUUUUAGAUAUUCAUAUUAGGCUAAAAUACAUGUUAGGUAUGAUCAUGCAUCUGUUUACUCAGAAGCAAAUCCCACUGUGUUAAACGGGGCUUACUAAUUGCGUUUAGGACUGGAGUUGAAGAUGUAUAUAUUCAAUCAUAAAUAUUCUGAGAAUGAAUGUAUCAACAAUGAGAAAGCUACUGCUGCUGCUACUACUACUGUCGUUUUCAUUAACAUUUAUAAAGCACAAGGGUGAGCAUCAAGGAGAUACAGAACUUUUAGAAGACAUCUAAAGGCAGUCCUGUAUCAGGAAGUUUUUGAUGUUUGAUGUUUUACUCUGUUUUUAUAUGUGCUCUAAGAUGCCCAGAGUGGCUGAGCAAAUCUAGCCAGAUGGGCAGGGAAUAACUACUGCUGCUGCUACUACUACUACUACUAUUACUGUUUAUUGUUUUUGCAUUCAGUGUAACGUGUGAAAGGUUCUGUAGUUUACUAGUGACUAGUGACUAGGUUCUACAGUUUACCAGGGACUUGAGUUAUGGGGACAUGGGGGAGAAUAUGGCUUAGGGAUGCUGUUCAAAGGGUACCGCAGUGACUCAUAAAUAUAAAAUGUCAUGCUCUGUGUGAGACCCGUGGUUACUCUUCUCUGGUAGUGACUACCCUGACUUGCAGUAGUUUGCCAAUUCCUCAUGCAGGAGUUUUCUGUAGCUCUCUCUCCUGAGGCUCCAUUUUAUAUUAGAACACAGCACCAAUAAACCAUGACAGCAACAGUUAUUUUUCUCCAUAAAUAUAAUGUAUUAUAGGAUACAAGAUAGGAUAUCUCGAGGGAUAGCUCAGUUGGUUGAGCAUGAGACUCUUAAUCUCAAGGUUGUGGGUUCGAGCCCCACAUUGGGGAAACGUUGACAGCUAUGAUCAGUGUGGAGUGGGGGAGAGAAGGAAGAGAUUACAAAUGGAGUUGGCACUGAGUUUUAGUUCCCAUGCCAUCAUUUGAAUAAAUAGUUUCUUCUUGCAAGUUUAUUUAUUUUGCAAAUGAGAGAUGAAAACAUAAUCCUUGAUCUACGCUUCAAGAGACUGCAGGUGGGUUGAGUUGCGCAAUUUCACACAAGUAUUUUGGCAGCUCCGAGUCGUAUUUCACCUCUGGCUCAUUCCUGCCAUCGGCAAAAGGCAGAUAGUGAGCAAGCUCUGCUAAUGGCCAGCUCUAAUCAGAGUGCAGUGCUCACGGUCAUUACCGGAUUAACUUCUCCUGUAUUUUAUCUGUGUCGUCUUGACCCCUUUCCAUUUAGUGCACAUGUUUUCAUGCUUCAGAUGAAUUGCUUAUAGGUCAAUUCUACAAAACAGCAAUGUGUCAGUACAGUAUAUCAGGUGUAGCCACGAUGGUGCUCUCCAGUUGUUGUGGAUAAUGACUAUUAUCAUUCCUAUUGGCCAUGCUGGCUAGAGUUGAUGGGAGUUGUUAGAGUCCAAAACAUCUGGAAGGCACUAUGUUGGCUACCCUGCAAUGUUUAAAAAUAUUAGAAAGCUCCUAAUCCCUUUGCGAGCAGUGAAAGAGGAGCCCCUAAGGAAGCGUGUCAAUGAGGGACCUAGAAUAUACCAGCAUAUAAACUACAAGCUCUGAAACAAAUGCUUCUUUGGCUGGCUUCUGUUAGGAGAACCACGAAAGUAUCAGUCUACGAGUUCAUAAAGCAGGAACUUUAAAACAGAGAAUCAACAGAUUCCCAGCCUUUCCUGUUUCCUGCCUCACAGCUCUCCUACAGGGACUAACUGUUGCCCCUGACUGAUUUCCUCCUGGCUUGCUGUAACCUAAUUCCCCGCCGUUCAUUCUAGCUGUCAUUGUAAGCUAAUGGAGCAGGCCAGGCAAUCCCAUGAGGGGGAUUCACGACCUUGACUCUGUUCUGCCUGCCAAACUAAACUUUGUAAUAGAUGUUGUUCCCAGUUCUCCUUACGCUCUUCAUUGAAUCUCAUGAAUGCUUGGCUGAGCAACAAAUUUGACCCCAAUUACAUGAGUAUGCUUCCUUGACAAAUUAAUGGCCAACGGGCUAUUUACCACCCCUUUGCCUUAUUUAUUCUUUCAAAGGGCUGCCAACGGCUUGUCAGAGAGACCAAGCUGAAUAGAUGUAGAUUCAUUGGACAGUCUCUGGUGGGAUCUUCACAUUAAUUGGUUCCCUGAGGUAAUAUGAGAAUUAAAUGGCAAAUCGGACUAUGUCAAACAUUGGGCUCCCUUCUUAGUGCAUUAUUUCAUUUCAUUAAAAGAUACAUAUGCUACCCUUCAGCUGAAAUAUUUCUUUUCCCAGGGCAUCUCACAAAUAAUAAUCAUAAUAAAUGAUUAACUCUCUAAAACCAACUACCAAACAAACAAACAAACAAAAAUCAAGGUGCAGAAACAAGGGAAAUUGUGAAAUAAGCACUAGGAAGACCAGUCAAACGGCAUUUUUAGAAAACUGAGGAAAAUAUAAAGGGUAUUUGCCUGACAGUGAAAAAACAUAAGAUAAGGCACCAGCUGAACUUCUCUGGGGAGAGAAUUCCAGUGAUAGGGUGCCACAUUCAAUAAGGCCCCUCCCUGGUUGCCAUCGCUUAAUUUUAAUGGGUAGAAGCAUCUACAGAAGGAUCCUCUGAAUAUGGUCUUUGUGUGCUGGGAGGAUGAACUCAUUCAAGUUCUCACAUUCCAAACUAAAUAAGUACUUUGAAUUUUCUUCAGAGAUGGAUGGGGCCCAGCAGCCAGAGCAGUUAGCAAUAUAUGUUUCCUAUGAGCGGUCCCACUUAGAAGACUUCCUGGGUUUUAGGUUCAUCUGGAGGUGACAGUAUCCCUUGUUUGCAUGGAUGGGGCAUGGAGAGAGAUGUGGAUGUAGAAAUCUCUGUAACUUUGUUGCUGCAGCCUUUUGUAUGAAGGUAAGAGUCCCAUCCUUUGCUCUACCCACUGUUGCCUCUGAUCUCACCCACCAUUUGCAUGCAUCCCCCUGGAAGUUGUCCAUAUGGGGCUGUGGCCCUUGCUCUAGGGGAUUGCAACCCUGUUCAGGUUAGGCUGAACACCACCUCAUCAAUCAAACCAUUCAGCAUAGUACCUCCAUAUCCUCUUGUCAGGAAGCAGCCUUGGCUUACUAUAGCUGUUAAUGCUAAAUUAGAAUAAAGGAGUCUUCAUAUUCAUGCUGAACAACAUGGCAAGAUGUUUCCCCCUUCUCGCGCUGGCAAAUUAUUGGGGUGAUCAAGUAACUGCUUUAUGCAUCGCUUUGUGAAAAUCGCCACUUUUUGUGAAAAUUACCAUCCAGCACUUGAUAAUUCUAGUAGAGUCUAGCAUUACAAGAUGUAGUUGAGCUAAAAAGUAGUUUCUUUGUGGCACUUUUAACCCCGUUUCAUGUUUCUGCAGUGCUGCUGGUGCUUUUAUCUGUUUCUGCUUUUAAGGUUUUGUUGUGGUUUUCUAUUUUAUCUUUGUUAGCCCCUACUGGGGUAUAAAUAUUUUAAAUAAAUAAAUGUAUGGGACUGAGCUGUUCCAUUCACUUUUGGUGGACUGGUAUAACCUUAUUUAAUAGACCUAACCGCCAUCACUAACCCCCAGAAUAUUGCUGAUACUCUGAGCACCAUUAAUUAUAAUCAUAUUCUGCUCUUCCGUAGCUCAGCAUGGCUUGCUUGAGGCUUCCACGGCCUCCACUCAGACACCCGUAAGGACCACACCCAUUUAGUUUCAAUACCUUUUGCAGCAGUGGGUGCUCUCAGACCAUCCACCAAGCACUAUCUGCCUAGACACUGGAUUGCCCUCUUACUCACAUAGGUGGUUUCCUCCAGGGCAGGAUUAUAGAUGCAUGGACUGGGUGGUACAGGAAGCUUUCACUGCUAUGUUUGUUUUGUACAAUGAAAGAGGAUUUCUGCCUCCAGGGCUCAAACCUAUUUACCAAGACAAAAUUCAUACUGGGAUGGGAGGGAACGUAUGGGUCAAACUACACUCAGUAUUUACCAUGUCUUUUGAAUCCUAUGCUCAGGAUUCUCUUUUUACUCCCCCCCCCCACACACUUUGCAGCCACAGAGGAGGAUAAACCCUUUCCCCUGGGCUGUUUUCCCACUGAAAACCAUGCCUCCCACAUCUGUUAUUUGUCCUCAAACCUUUUUUUUUGGCCGCAAAAAGCAGCUAGGGGGAAUAAUUUUCAUCAGGAGAAAUGGUGCAUGGAGGGAAAGGUUAAAACACCCACCCACCUGUGCUGUGGGCCCAAACCAGAUUAAGAGCCACUGUUGCUGCUGUUACUAAUCCUAAUUGCAGGAAGAAUCCAUUUAUUCUCGUUUGACCCUGAGAUUUUACAAGAGCAUGUUCAGAGUCAUUUAGACUAUUCAUUCUGUUAUGAGGGUUUAAUAGGCAUUAUUAAUUUGUAAUUUACGUGAAUUCGCCUUUUGUAAGACUGUUUAUCCAAUAAACUCCAACAACACCGGCAACUUAUUUUAACAAAUGGCUUUGCUACUUAAUUUGUUUUGCUGUUCUUACAUAUUUAUAACACAGGCCCUCUGAGGAGAAUGCAGGCUGCAAAUCCACAAAAAAUUGUGAAGUAAAUAAUUGUAAUGAUUUUUUCAGUCCCACGUUAUAGCAUGUUGGAACAUUAAAAGGAAACUAAAUUAUGGUGUUUUAAGAAAUUCAUAGGUAGCCAAAUAUACCAAAGAUCCUAACACAUGUUCCGCGAUGUGGUCUGUGUUACUAUUGACAAGAAUGUGUCACUGAAUUAGAGCAAUUGCUUUUCCUUGUGUUGCUGACUUUUCAAAAAACAAUAACACUUUUUUACCAGAAAAGAUAGAGUAUAGUGUCUUUGUGCUGAGCUUGUGGUCCUGCUAAGAUGGCCGCCUGAUGCUGCUGCUUGGAUUAGUGCAAGCUACUCAUUAUCUUAAGCUUACUCAGAAGCAACUCAACAACACAUUAAAAAUGAAAUAACAAAAGAAGGAAAUGCAAAAAUAUGGAGUCCAAAACAAAUAUCCCACUUCCCCCACUGAUUGCAGCUUAUUUCCCAAAUAACCCUUUUGGCAACUUCACAUAGAAAGCACCAGUGGUCAUGUUGCCCAAUUGAGGAGAGGCUAGAAAAAGGCACCCAAUCACAUGGGAAAGCUCUGCAUGAUAGGACGCCACCCACACUGUUUAAAUGUUAUUCCACUAGGCAGGAGCUGCUUAUAGAUAAGCAGGACCCAUGCAUCCGGGAUGACAUCAAAUGGGCAAUUUAGGCAAUAUGAUUUGCCAUUGUAUUCUUACUCAUAGAACUGUAAAUUGGAAGAGACCCUGAGGAUCAUCUAGUCCAACCCCCUGCAAUGCAGAAAUAUAUAGCUGUCCCAUAUUUAGAGAAGCCAUCCCGGUUUCUGAUUUGAUCCCGGAAUGUCCCAUUUCCCCUUAGAAUGUCCAUAUUUUCACUGCAGAAAUGUUGGAGGGUAUGGUAGGGUGUCUCUGUUUUCACUUGACGAUAUGGAGUUAUCUGACCCCCAAGCCAUCUGAAGGCAAACCUGUAUAGGGAAAGGGUUUGUUUUUUUAAAAAAAAAUGUUUUAUUAUAUUUUUACAUAUGUUGGAAGCUGCCCAGAGAGGCUGUGGCAACUCACUAAGAUGUGUGGGGUAUAAAUGGUGAAAUUAUCAUUAUGGAAUGAGACGUCCCUAUUUUCAUCAGCGAAAUGUUAGAGGGUAUGUUGGUGUUAUCAACACCAUGCUGUAACCAACUGAGCUAUCCAGUUCCUCGUACUGUUUAUCUCUAAAGCAGCCUUUCUCAACCUGUGGGUCCCCAGAUGUUAUCGAACUACAACUCCCAUCACCCCUAGCUAGCAAGGCCAGAGCUCAGGGAUGAUGGGAGUUGUAGUCCAACAACAUCUGGGGACCGACAGGUUGAGAACUGCUGCUCUGGAGUAACAAGGGAACAGACAUCAUCACCAGGGGCCGCUGGUCCAGUGGGACAGUACUGUGCUGGCAUGGUCCUGAAUGCAGAGGGGUGCACCAGGGCAGUGGUGACGUCAAGUCUAGGCAGGUGGACCAAUAGACACCCCCCACUAUGCUUGUUAUUCCUGGUAAUCACAGAUUCUCCUCCCCCAUCACCAAAUUAUCGUUUCAUCAAGGUGGAAUAAAACCACCUGAGAAUUAAUUGGUGCCUUUUUGCCUUUGGACAGUUAACUCUACACAUUAAAUAAGAGCACAUCUUUAAAAACCUAGCUGAGUAAAAGCACUCGUUCAGGCCCCAAUUAUGCACGAAUGAGUGCAUCCAAAAAAAAGAGUUGUAAAGCAUAGAAAAGGGAGCCUCCAAGUGACUGAUGACUUGGGAUGGCCAAAGGAGGUCACCAUUAGGAGUGGCAGUGCCUGCCAGGGCACCAUCCCAAGAACCCGUACCGAGACUGAUAAACCAGAUGGCUGACUCAGCACAACAGCCCCUGUCAUUCUGCAUUAGAUGCGCUUGUGACUGCAGAGGAGGCAGCCCAGACUGGGCUUGGCUCAAAUAGCCGUGCUUAAACUCUCUGGUAUGUCUACCAACAAUCAGACACCCAGAAGGAAAUAUAGGCGUGUUCAUGGUUAGCAGUCAUGGUUAACAGUCAAUGGCGCAGAAAAUCCCAAUGUUGGGCACUGAAAGACUUGUAAUUUGGAGUGAUAUUUGUGCAGCAAACUUCAUUUGCAUGAAGUUUAAGAACGAAAGUCCCACAUCCAGUUUCCAGCUAUGGUGGCCAGAUGUGUAGCGUUCAACUAUGUCUCGUGUUUGUUUUUAAUUCAUUACAGCCAUGGGAGGGAGACUUAUUAUUAUUCGGAUCACAGUGUACAGGAAAGAGCCAUUUAUCCCUUCCUGCUCCAGCCACAACCACUGAAAAUCACCCUCCCUGAUGUGCAGCUACAAGGCUUAAUAAAAAUAGUUCCCUCCCCUCUCUUGCACAUUAGGAACAUAGGAAGCUGCCUUACCAGGCCAUUGGUCCAUCUAUUGUCUAUACCAGAGUUUCCCAAACUUGGGUCUCCAGCUGUUUUUGAACUACAGUUCCCAUCAUCCAUGACCACUGGUCUUGCUAGCUAGGGAUGAUGGGAGUUGUAGUCCAAAAACAGCUGGAGACCCAAGUUUGGGAAACCCUGGUCUAUACUAUAUGGGCAGCAGCUCUCCAGGUUUUCAGACAAGUUUCUCCUUGCCCUGGCUCGAGUUUUCAGGGAUUUACCUUAUUGUCUUUAUUGAUUGGUUUUUUAAAAAAUGUCACUCUCCACUACACGUGGGGGCAGUUCACAAACAAAAUAAUGAUAUUAGAGCUUUUUCUGAGAGAAACGUACAGCUUUCAUACUAAGAGAAGAGCCUCCAUCUUUUGUAAGAGGCUAUUGCACUUACUUUAAUCUUGCUUUUCUCUCGCCUCACUGCCGCCUUGCUCCUCAUUGCCUAAGCCUCACUGCUGGUCUUUGGACAUGGCCCAGCUUUGUGGCUCAACCCUCACCCAUAUACAAGCUUAAUACUGCUAAUUGUGCUAAUCAUCACAUUGUGAUUAUGUCAAGUCUCACCAGGGGCUGUAAUUAAUGAAUUAAAGCAAAUCAAGUAAUGUAGCUACAUGUUACACAUUAAGCAUAAGCUGUAGUCUGGCCAAGGGAUUCUUGAGAAAUUUGUUCUUCACGAAUUCCAAUGUGAAUUGACAUGAUCUGCAUCUUCUGGACCAACAUGUGCCAGAAUGUAAUUAUCUCUUCAAGUUUUUCACUACUCUGAAUCUUGCAAAUGGAGUCCUGAGCUCAAGCAACAUACCAAAACAAGUAUUUUAGGAGGAAAUACAUUCAGAAAUGUGUAGUUUGAGAGAAAAUGUCUAUAAAUGUAUGUUUUGUGAGAAAAUACAUUCAAAAAUACAUAUUCAAAUAUGUAUCAAAUGUUUAUUUUUAAAAUCCACAGAUUAAUUUGGAAAUGGGACAGAAUGGACUUUGAAUGAAGACAUAGAACGCUGACAUGGGCUGAGAAUGGACUGAUCUGUUUAAUCCUGAGUAAAGGUAUCUUAAAUGAUUAGCAAACAAGCUUGUUGGUUUUGUGGAGGAUCAAAGUUAUAUUUAAAGCACAUUGCUUUAAUGUAGCAACUCAGCAUCUGAUUCCC